GUAGUCAACCGGUCUGUCGCUUUUAUAUGAAAGAGGAAAGUCCGGACAACAUAGAGCACCUUACUAUCUAACGGAUAGCUGUUUGUGAAAGCAGGGUCAAGUAGAAGAAAAUAACCGCCUUUUUCGGAAGGUAAGGGUGAGAAGGUGAGGUAAAAGCUCACCGGUUCCCAUAGCAAUAUGGGAAGCCGUACUACCUAAGGGUUGCAAGGUCAUGUAUACCGGCGUAUGUAGAAUUGCUCGUUCGAUGCCGGGGGGUAGACUGCUUGAGUUUAAUGGAGACGUUAAACCCAGAUAAAUGACAGACGCCUGUUACAGGUACAGAAUCCGGCUUACAGGUUGACUACUUUU
rnacentral:RNase_P_RNA from 1 species